AAGUCGUAACAAGGUAUCCGUAGGUGAACCUGCGGAUGGAUCAUUACCAAAAAGUGAUUCAAUAGACAUUAUGGUGGAUCUUGUCGCUUGGGGAACGGCCGAGAUUCAUUCUUUCUAUUGAAGCCACUAUAAUCUGUUUAGGCGUCGUAUGGAAACGUUCGGCGCAAUUUCCCCUUUCUUGGAGUCUAAUAUUCCUAUUAGCACUCUGGGGAUGUACAUUAAUGUGUUUAUCGUAUUAUACAGGCUUGUAUUGUAUAAUAAGCACAUUCCUGGCUCUUAACAGAGUCAACAGUACAUGUUGUUUGGUGCAUUUGUGCCAACAAUAGCUUAUUCUGUCAUAGCGACUAGAAAUUUCAUUUUGAACUAAUCCAAUACACAACUGUUAGCAACGGAUCACUCGGCUCUU
rnacentral:misc_RNA from 1 species